rnacentral:rRNA from 1 species
GUCUUCUUGGAGUCAAAAAGAAGUCUGACCUGCCCAAUGUUUUGUAAAUGGCCGCGGUAUUUUGACCGUGCGAAGGUAGCAUAAUAAUUAGUCCAUUAAAUAUGGUCUGGAAUGAAAGGUUUGACGGGGGGUAGCUUUCUUAAUUUUAUUGUUGAAUUUGAAUUGUUAGUGAGAGUGCUUACAUGAACUAAAGGGACGAGAAGACCCUAUAGAGCUUUACAUAAGGCUAAAAUUAUUGGUAUAUUAAUUAGUAUUAUGUUUUGUUGGGGCGACAUUAAAUAUUAAACAUUUGUUUUUUUGUCUGUUUAAUAGGUGUAAUGAUCCAUUAAUAAUGAUUAAAGACUAAGUUACCUUAGGGAUAACAGCGUAAUUCCGCUUUAGAGUUCUUAUCGAUGGUGGAGAUUGCGACCUCGAUGUUGGAUUAUAAUUCCUUUAUGGUGUAGUAGUUAUAAAAGGUAGUCUGUUCGACUAUUGAAAUUUUACA